GAUGAACGCUGGCGGCGUGCCUAACACAUGCAAGUGGAGCGACGAACCUGGCUUCGGCCAGGGGCAAAGCCGCGAACGGGUGAGUAACACGUGGAUUAUCUGCCCCAAUGACCGGGACAACCCGAGGAAACUCGGGCUAAUACCGGAUGUGCUCUUAGGAGGAAAGGAAGCUUCGGCCUCCGCAUUGGGAUGAGUCCGCGGCGCAUUAGCUUGUUGGUGGGGUAAUGGCCCACCAAGGCGACGAUGCGUAGCUGGUCUGAGAGGACGAUCAGCCACACAGGAACUGAGACACGGUCCAGACUCCUACGGGAGGGAGCAGUGGGGAAUCUUGCGCAAUGAACGAAAGUGUGACGCAGCAACGCCGCGUGCGGGAAGAAGGUCUUCGGAUCGUAAACCGCUUUCAGUUGGGACGAGGGUCAGCUGGUGAAUAGCCAGUCUGACUGACGGUACCUUCAGAAGAAGCCCCGGCUAACUACGUGCCAGCCGCCGCCGUAA
rnacentral:rRNA from 1 species